rnacentral:rRNA from 1 species
GGCGUAAAGCGCAUGCAGGUGGUUGGAUAAGUUAGAUGUGAAAGCCCCGGGCUCAACCUGGGAAUUGCAUUUAAAACUGUCCAGCUAGAGUCUUGUAGAGGGGGGUAGAAUUUC